CCUCUCAUGGCGUAGUGGUAACGCGCCCCAACUAGAGAUGUGGGAAUCGUGAGUUCGAUUCUCACUGAGAAGA
rnacentral:tRNA from 1 species